rnacentral:rRNA from 1 species
GAUGAACGCUGGCGGCGUGCCUAAUACAUGCAAGUCGAGCGAACAGAUAAGGAGCUUGCUCCUUUGACGUUAGCGGCGGACGGGUGAGUAACACGUGGGUAACCUACCUAUAAGACUGGAAUAACUCCGGGAAACCGGGGCUAAUGCCGGAUAACAUUUAGAAACGCAUGGUUCUAAAGUGAAAGAUGGUUUUGCUAUCACUUAUAGAUGGACCCGCGCCGUAUUAGCUAGUUGGUAAGGUAACGGCUUACCAAGGCAACGAUACGUAGCCGACCUGAGAGGGUGAUCGGCCACACUGGAACUGAGACACGGUCCAGACUCCUACGGGAGGCAGCAGUAGGGAAUCUUCCGCAAUGGGCGAAAGCCUGACGGAGCAACGCCGCGUGAGUGAUGAAGGUCUUCGGAUCGUAAAACUCUGUUAUUAGGGAAGAACAAAUGUGUAAGUAACUGUGCACGUCUUGACGGUACCUAAUCAGAAAGCCACGGCUAACUACGUG